UCCGGUUUGUCACCGGCAGUCUGGCGUGAGUCCCCAACUUAAUGCUGGCAACACGCCACGGGGGUUGCGCUCGUUGCGGGACUUAACCCAACAUCUCACGACACGAGCUGACGACAGCCAUGCAGCACCUGUGCACCGGCCCCGAAGGGAAGACAGCUUUCACUGCCGAUCCAAUGCAUGUCAAGCCCAGGUAAGGUUCUUCGCGUUGCGUCGAAUUAAACCACAUGCCCCACCGCUUGUGCGGGCCCCCGUCAAUUCCUUUGAGUUUCAGCCUUGCGGCCGUACUCCCCAGGCGGGGCACUUACUGCGUUAGCGACGGCACUCAGAGGGUCGCUCCCCCAAGCACCUAGUGCCCAUCGUUUACGGCAUGGACUAC
rnacentral:misc_RNA from 1 species